GCAACUCGGCUGCAUGAAGCUGGAAUCGCUAGUAAUCGCGGAUCAGAAUGCCGCGGUGAAUACGUUCCCGGGCCUUGAACACACCGCCCGUCACACCAUGAGAGUCAGCAACACCCGAAGCCUGUGAGCUAACGCAAGAGGCAGCAGUCGAAGGUGGGGUUGGUGAUUGGGGUGAAGUCGUAACAAGGUAAC
rnacentral:rRNA from 1 species